rnacentral:rRNA from 1 species
GCAGUCGAGCGGAACGAUCCUAGCUUGCUAGGAGGCGUCGAGCGGCGGACGGGUGAGUAAUGCAUAGGAAUCUGCCCGGUAGUGGGGGAUAACCUGGGGAAACCCAGGCUAAUACCGCAUACGCCCUACGGGGGAAAGCAGGGGAUCUUCGGACCUUGCGCUAUCGGAUGAGCCUAUGUCGGAUUAGCUAGUUGGUGAGGUAACGGCUCACCAAGGCUGCGAUCCGUAGCUGGUCUGAGAGGAUGAUCAGCCACAUCGGGACUGAGACACGGCCCGAACUCCUACGGGAGGCAGCAGUGGGGAAUAUUGGACAAUGGGCGAAAGCCUGAUCCAGCCAUGCCGCGUGUGUGAAGAAGGCCUUCGGGUUGUAAAGCACUUUCAGUGAGGAAGAAAGCCUUGAGGUUAAUACCCUCGAGGGAGGACAUCACUCACAGAAGAAGCACCGGCUAACUCCGUGCCAGCAGCCGCGGUAAUACGGAGGGUGCGAGCGUUAAUCGGAAUUACUGGGCGUAAAGCGCGCGUAGGCGGCUUGAUAAGCCGGUUGUGAAAGCCCCGGGCUCAACCUGGGAACGGCAUCCGGAACUGUCAGGCUAGAGUGCAGGAGAGGAAGGUAGAAUUCCCGGUGUAGCGGUGAAAUGCGUAGAGAUCGGGAGGAAUACCAGUGG